CGGAGCCGAGGUAGGCUGCGGCCGGUCCGGGCUCGGCGGACAUCGGUGGCGGAAGACUGCAGUGGCGCAGGCACUGUGCGGCGGCGAGUGUGGUUGCGGCCGGUCCGUGCUCGGUGGACAGCGGCGGCGGACGGCUGCGGCUGGUCCGUGCUCCGACGUGGUCGCCUUCUCAUCGUCGAAGGUGGAGGGCGAGCCGCGUGCUGAGGAGUCGCUGUGGCGGCUGGCGGAGCUGGACUCGCUGCUGGCCCCUUCCGCCGGGUCCGUAACCCCUUCCACGAGCCCUGUGUCUACUCUGUGUUUCUGCAUCAACACCGAUUCAAGGUGAGUAAUCUUAACAAAAGAUAACUCAACAUGAAAGGACUGGGAUGGAAGAAAAAGAUGUUAGUCUAUUCAACGCUUAUUCUUCCAUUGUCAUUUUCUAUAAAUGAAGAGAUGGAAAGCCUUCGUUCAAAUCCCACAUGAAUUUGACCAAGCUUCCAAUAGGUGAAAAGCCAUUAAAGUGCAAAUGGCUUUAUAAGAAGAAUGAAUGUACUUAAAGUUCAACUUUCAAGUUGGAAAACCCCUUUAGUAGUGAAAUAUUUUAACCAAGAGAAAUGAUAUUAACUUCAAUAAAGUGUUU